CACGAAAUUCUAAAAAACUGCAUGCAGGUAAGUACGCGUGACAAUAACUGAAAUCGAAUUUAGCGUACAAAAAUCUACAGUAUUAUGUAAAUUAAAAUUAGUACCCGAGGUUGGACAACAAUUUUUUUUUCGAGCGACUGUUUAAGACAGAGAAUACGGCCUAAAUUGUUUGAUGACUUUUGCAUUGAAAAUUAUUUAGUUAAGGAGGCUGCCUAGUUAUUUGUAGCAGUGGCGCCGCCAGCUCGAUAAUUGGGGGAGGGGCGAUAUUCAUAUAUUCGUGUUCACAGACCAUAAAAACAAUCGAUUUCAAAAUAAAUUAAUAAUGCAGAACACGAAGAUAUGAAUAUUCGCCCCCCCCCCCACACAAUUAUCGAGCUGGCGGCGCCACUGAUUAGUAGACUUUGAAGUUGAUUUAGUCAAACGUCAUUCUCGUGUCGUGCGCGUGGAGAAUUCGUGAAUCGUGGUUGGUUUUACACAAGUCGGCGAAAUAAUUUGUGCUUUUAUAUAUCUUGAAAAAAACGACAAAAUCAUACGUAGCUGAAAUUAAAAAGUAUGUAUGUUGUUAACAAGUUUUUAAACUUUUGUUUAGCAUGUCUUUCACGUUUUAACGUUUAGUAUUGUUUUUUAAAAUGUUCAAAAUAAAUAAUAUUGUAAUAUUGUAGCGAUUUAAAACUUGAUUGUUUGAAAAUGGUGGACUACAAAUAAUUACGUGUCACCGUUAAUAUCGUCGCAUUCAACUUGAAUCGUCUGGUGUUUUGUAUUAUAAAUGCGAUCCACUUCAUGAAACAGAUCUUUAGCGAAAUAAGUUUAAUCGUCUUGAGAAUUUUUACCGUUUUUCAAUAGAAUCACAACAAGUCCAAAUAUAAAAAAGUUCAGGGCAAAAUAGUUUUUCCAUUCUUACCGUUUCAGAUAUACAUGUACUGUCAACAACACUGUUCAGCAAGUUUUUCAACAACUGCAUCACUUUAACAUGCACUGGCUGGACAAUUCGACUAGGGCAUUGUAUAGACAAUCACCAUACGGAUCUUUACCAUAUGAUAUGGUAGAUGGGUGGGUUACCGAAUGCGUGAGGAGCAAUGGAUUUCAGGGAAGUUUGGAUGGAUUUGGAAUCUCCUUUUCCUUGAAAGAAAUUGAGUAACACUUUGCCAGGUAGUUGAUGACUUUUCGAGAAAAUGAUGAACAGUUGACAAAUUUAUUGCUUAAUUAUUUAUUUUGAAUUUAUCAAAAUAGAUAGAGAAAGAUAGAUUAAUAGUUUAUUGAAACA